rnacentral:rRNA from 1 species
UACGUAGGGUCCGAGCGUUGUCCGGAAUUACUGGGCGUAAAGAGCUCGUAGGUGGUUUGUCGCGUUGUUCGUGAAAACUCACAGCUCAACUGUGGGCGUGCGGGCGAUACGGGCAGACUAGAGUACUGCAGGGGAGACUGGAAUUCCUGGUGUAGCGGUGGAAUGCGCAGAUGUCAGGAGGAACACCGGUGGCGAAGGCGGGUCUCUGGGCCGAUACUGACGCUGAGGAGCGAAAGCGUGGGGGAGCGAACAGG